GCCAGCCGCUCAGAACUUAAGGAAUUGACGGGGCCGCACAAGCGGUGAGCAUGUGGUUUAAUUCGAUGAUACGCGAGGACCUUACCUGGGCUCAAAUGUAUGUUGACGUAUUCUGAAAGGGAUACUUCUUCGGACAAUAUACAAGGUGCUGCAUGGUUGUCGUCAGCUCGUGCCGUGAGGUGUCGGGUUAAGUCCCAUAACGAGCGCAACCCCUAUCAUUAGUUGCCAUCAGGUCAAGCUGGGGACUCUAAUGAAACUGCCUACGCAAGUAGUGAGGAAGGUGGGGAUGACGUCAAAUCAGCACGGCCCUUACGUCCAGGGCUACACACGUGCUACAAUGGCCGGUACAAAGGGCAGCUACCUGGUGACAGGAUGCUAAUCUCAAAAGCCGGUCUCAGUUCGGAUCGGAGUCUGCAACCCGACUCCGUGAAGCUGGAAUCGCUAGUAAUCGUGGAUCAGCAUGCCACGGUGAAUACGUUCCCGGGCCUU
rnacentral:rRNA from 1 species